UACAGAGGGGGCGAGCGUUGUUCGGAAUCACUGGGCGUAAAGGGUGCGUAGGCGGGUCUUUAAGUCAGGGGUGAAAUCCUGGAGCUCAACUCCAGAACUGCCUUUGAUACUGAGGAUCUUGAGUUCGGGAGAGGUGAGUGGAACUGCGAGUGUAGAGGUGAAAUUCGUAGAUAUUCGCAAGAACACCAGUGGCGAAGGCGGCUCACUGGCCCGAUACUGACGCUGAGGCACGAAAGCGUGGGGAGCAAACAGG
rnacentral:rRNA from 1 species